UACGGAGGGUGCUAGCGUUGUUCGGAAUCACUGGGCGUAAAGCGCGUGUAGGCGGCCUCCCAAGUCUGAUGUGAAAGCCCGGGGCUCACCCCCGGAAGUGCAUUGGAAACUGUGAGGCUCGAGUCCCGGAGAGGAGAGUGGAAUUCCUGGUGUAGCGGUGAAAUGCGUAGAUAUGCGGAGGAACACCGAUGGCGAAGGCAAUCCCCUGGGCCUGCACUGACGCUCAUGCACGAAAGCGUGGGGAGCGAACAGG
rnacentral:rRNA from 1 species